CAAACAAAAAACUGAAUGGAAAUGAAUGUUUUAGAGAUUCGAUGGCAGAGUAUGUGAGCUCGUGUCGGCGUGUUGAAAUGAUUGUCUCGUUAUAUUCGUUUGCACUUGUGUGGCCAACAUUCAGACCUGUCCGCCAUCUUUCCCCCUACCAACUGUGUGUAAUAGAGCGCGUGUAUAGGGCCCGCCAUUAACGCCAGCCGAUUGAAUGUUUCUUCAACAUUUCCGUGUGUGUGUGUGUGCGGACAAUUCUAAAAACGAGUGCUAGUUUGCCACCCAAAACUGAUCAUCACACACACACUCGUCAUCAUGGAGGGGAAAAACAAAUUCUAAAGUCAUCCGUCUCUUUCAAUCUCUUCCAGCCAAAUACACCCAUCAACCGUGGCCCACUCUGCACACAUUGAAGCGCUGCUCGAAAACGUAUCCCGACCACCGGGAAUCCACGACAACUUGCACGCAGAUGGAGUGUCUCACCAAAGAGAGGCAGACCUCCCUCGAAGUCCGCAGCAAUACACCGUGCAACAGCCAGUUGGAGAUUCAGCGUCAUCUAGAGGUCGCUGUGGAAACCACUGCACGGAAACCAGUACCCCGCUAGAAUUCAAAUCGCGCCCGAACGACAUACAUACCCCGGAAGCUCCUUGAAGAAC